rnacentral:rRNA from 1 species
GACGAACGCUGGCGGCGUGCCUAAUACAUGCAAGUAGAACGCUGAAGGAGGAGCUUGCUUCUCCGGAUGAGUUGCGAACGGGUGAGUAACGCGUAGGUAACCUGCCUGGUAGCGGGGGAUAACUAUUGGAAACGAUAGCUAAUACCGCAUAACAGUAGAUGUUGCAUGACAUUUGCUUAAAAGGUGCAAUUGCAUCACUACCAGAUGGACCUGCGUUGUAUUAGCUAGUUGGUGAGGUAACGGCUCACCAAGGCGACGAUACAUAGCCGACCUGAGAGGGCGAUCGGCCACACUGGGACUGGGACACGGCCCAGACUCCUACGGGAGGCAGCAGUAGGGAAUCUUCGGCAAUGGACGGAAGGCUGACCGAGCAACGCCGCGUGAGUGAAGAAGGUUUUCGGAUCGUAAAGCUCUGUUGUAAGAGAAGAACGAGUGUGAGAGUGGAAAGUUCACAAUGUGACGGUAUCUGACCAGAAAGGGACGGCUAACUACGUG